CUCGUAGGCGGUUUGUCACGUCGGUAGUGAAAACUCGGGGCUCAACCCCGAGCCUGCUUCCGAUACGGGCUGACUAGAGGUAUGCAGGGGAGAACGGAAUUCCUGGUGUAGCGGUGAAAUGCGCAGAUAUCAGGAGGAACACCGGUGGCGAAGGCGGUUCUCUGGGCAUUACCUGACGCUGAGGAGCGAAAGUGUGGGGAGCGAACA
rnacentral:rRNA from 1 species